GAGAGUUUGAUUCUGGCUCAGGAUGAACGCUGGCGGCGUGCGUAACACAUGCAAGUUGGACGACGGUGCCAUGAAGUGGUAACACGGAGUGGUAUACGGAGUAGCGGACGGGUGAGUACAACAUGAGAAGCUGUCCUUCAGCGGGGGACAACGUCUGGAAGCGGACGCUAAUACCCCAUAGGCCGAGAGGUUAAAGCAGCAAUGCGCUGGAGGAGGUGCUCGUGCCCUAUCAGCUAGUUGGUGAGGUAACGGCUCACCAAGGCGACGACGGGUAGCCGGCCUGAGAGGGUGAACGGCCACACUGGAACUGAGAUACGGUCCAGACUCCUACGGGAGGCAGCAGUGGGGAAUAUUGGGCAAUGGGAGGAAUCCUGACCCAGCGACGCCGCGUGAACGAUGACGGCCUUCGGGUUGUAAAGUUCUUUUAUGUGGGAAGAAGGAAGUGACGGUACCACAUGAAUAAGCCCCGGCUAACUACGUGCCAGCAGCCGCGGUAAUACGUAGGGGGCGAGCGUUGUCCGGAAUUACUGGGCGUAAAGGGCACGCAGGCUGUGAUUCAAGUCAGCUGUAAAAGGAUGCGGCUUAACCGUGUUUAGCAGUUGAAACUGGAUGACUGGAGUGCUGGAGAGGCAAGUGGAAUUCCCAGUGUAGCGGUGAAAUGCGUAGAUAUUGGGAAGAACAUCGGUGGCGAAGGCGACUUGCUGGCCAGUAACUGACGCUGAGGUGCGAAAGCCAGGGUAGCAAACGGGAUUAGAUACCCCGGUAGUCCUGGCCGUAAACGAUGAAUGCUAGGUGUGCGAGCAGAGAUGUUGGUGUGCCGCAGUUAACGCGAUAAGCAUUCCGCCUGGGGAGUACGGUCGCAAGAUUGAAACUCAAAGGAAUUGACGGGGGCCCGCACAAGCGGCGGAGCACGUGGUUUAAUUCGAUGCAAACCGAAGAACCUUACCUGGGUUUGACAUGUAUGAGGUAGGAGCCGGAAACGGUGACGACGUACUUUCGGGUACGAACAUAUACAGGUGGUGCAUGGUUGUCGUCAGCUCGUGUCGUGAGAUGUUAGGUUAAGUCCUGCAACGAGCGCAACCCCUAUUUCUAGUUGCCAGCACGUAAUGGUGGGAACUCUAGAAAGACUGCCGGUGAUAAAUCGGAGGAAGGUGGGGACGACGUCAAAUCAUCAUGCCCUUUAUGUCUUGGGCAACACACGUACUACAAUGGCCGUUACAGAGAGAAGCAAUACAGUGAUGUGGAGCAAAACUCAAAAAGCGGUCUCAGUUCGGACUGUAGGCUGAAAUUCGCCUACACGAAGUCGGAAUUGCUAGUAAUGGCAGGUCAGAAUACUGCCGUGAAUACGUUCCCGGGCCUUGUACACACCGCCCGUCACACCAUGAGAGUUAGAAAUACCCGAAGCCUGUGAGCUAACAGUUUAAUAUUGAGGCAGCAGUCGAAGGCAGAGCUAAUGAUUGGGGUGAAGUCGUAACAAGGUAGCCGUAGGAGAACCUGCGGCUGGAACACCU
rnacentral:rRNA from 1 species